rnacentral:rRNA from 1 species
AAUAGAUACCCGGGUAGUCCACGCCGUAAACGAUGGAUGCUAGCUGUUAUGCGUAUCGACCCGUGUAGUAGCGAAGCUAACGCGUUAAGCAUCCCGCCUGGGGAGUACGAACGCAAGUUUAAAACUCAAAGGAAUUGACGGGGACCCGCACAAGCGGUGGAGCGUGUUCUUUAAUUCGAGGCUAAGCGAAGAACCUUACCAGGGCUUGACAUCCUUGGAAUUUCUCCGAAAGGAGAGAGUACUUUAUUGGACCAAGUGACAGGUGCUGCAUGGCCGUCGUCAGCUCGUGUCGUGAGAUGUUUGGUUAAGUCCAUUAACGAGCGCAACCCUUAUGAAUAGUUGUAUUUUUCUAUUCAGACUGCCCCGGUAACGGGGAGGAAGGGGGGGAUGAUGUCAGGUCAGUAUUGCCCUUACGCCCUGGGCUAGAAACGCGCUACAAUGGCCGGUACAAUGCGCUGCCAACCCGCGAGGGGGAGCAAAUCGCAUCAAAGCCGGUCCCAGUUCGGAUAAGAGGCUGAAACUCGCCUCUUUGAAGCCGGAAUCGCUAGUAAUCGU